rnacentral:rRNA from 1 species
CGCUGGCGGCGUGCCUAAUACAUGCAAGUCGAACGGUCUUUCUAUGGAAGCUUGCUUCCACUGAGAAGAUAGUGGCGAACGGGUGAGUAACACGUGGGUAACCUGCCCAUAAGAGGGGGGAUAACAUCCGGAAACGGGUGCUAAUACCGCAUAGUUUUCUUGAUCGCAUGAUCGGGAAAGGAAAGACGGCCUUUGUGCUGUCGCUUAUGGAUGGACCCGCGGCGUAUUAGUUAGUUGGUGAGGUAACGGCUCACCAAGACGAUGAUACGUAGCCGACCUGAGAGGGCGAUCGGCCACAUUGGGACUGAGACACGGCCCAAACUCCUACGGGAGGCAGCAGUAGGGAAUCUUCCGCAAUGGACGAAAGUCUGACGGAGCAACGCCGCGUGAGUGAAGAAAAGGGUUUUCGGAUCGUAAAACUCUGUUGUCAGAGAAGAACAAGUUGGAGAGUAACUGCUCCAGCCUUGACGGUAUCUGACCAGAAAGCCACGGCUAACUACGUGCCAGCCGCCGC